rnacentral:tRNA from 1 species
AAUAAAGUGCCUGAUAAAAAGGAUUAUUCUGAUAGGAUAAAUUAUGUAAAAAUAUUACCUUUAUUA